CAGAGGUCCCGAGCGUUGUUCGGAUUCACUGGGCGUAAAGGGUGCGUAGGUGGUGAGGUAAGUCGGAUGUGAAAUCUCGGAGCUCAACUCCGAAAUGGCAUUGGAAACUACCUUGCUUGAGGAUUGGAGGGGGGACUGGAAUACUUGGUGUAGCAGUGAAAUGCGUAGAUAUCAAGUGGAACACCAGUGGCGAAGGCGAGUCCCUGGACAACUCCUGACACUGAGGCACGAAAGCUAGGGGAGCAAACAGGAUUAGAUACCCUGGUAGUCCUAGCCGUAAACGGUGCACGUUUGCUGUAAAAGGAAUCGACCCCUUUUGUGGCGUAGCCAACGCGUUAAACGUGCCGCCUGGGAAGUACGGUCGCAAGAUUA
rnacentral:rRNA from 1 species